CCUAAGUGUGAACAUCUGUAAUUUCCUAUCAAAGACGGUGAUAAUCCGGUAUGGUAGUUUGAUUGGCUAAAUAUUCUUGUUAUUUAAAGAGUCGAGUUGUUUGGGGAUUGCAACUCUAAUAAAGGUGAUAGAUUUCAUCUAAAGCUAAAUAUAUUAGGAAAACCGAUAGCAAAGAAGUACUGUGAAGGAAAGGUGAAAAGAACUUUGAAAAGAGAGUUAAAAGUGCUUGAAAUUGUUAAAAGGGAAGCGAAUGAAAAGAAUUACUGCGAUUAAGGUCCUCAGUAUUUCUGAAGGGGAAUUUAAUGAAAGGCUUAGUCGACUUGACCUGUCUGAUUUGAAAACCUUGGACGAUUUAUUUAUAGAUCUUGCAGAUUAAUGUAAAAUAAGGAAAUUAAAAAAAGGCUGAAAAGAGAUAUGUAGUGGGCUUGUCUCAUUGCAAUAAAUAUUUUGACGUAAUUAAAGGGAC
rnacentral:rRNA from 1 species